GACGAACGCUGGCGGCGCGCUUAACACAUGCAAGUCGAACGGAAAGGCCUGCUUUCCCUUGUGGAUUGCGGGUACUCGAGUGGCGAACGGGUGAGUAACACGUGAGUGAUCUGCCCCCAACUUGGGUAUAAGCCUGGGAAACUGGGUCUAAUUCCCGAUAGGACUGCAGGGUGGUGCCUGUGGUGGAAAACGAUUUUCUAGUGGUUGGGGAUGAGCUCGCGGCCUAUCAGCUUGUUGGUGGGGUAAUGGCCUACCAAGGCGGCGACGGGUAGCCGGCCUGGGAGAGUGGACGUGCGCGGUGGGACUGAGAUACGGCCCAGACGCCUACGGGAGGCAGCAGUGGGGAGUAAUGCACGAGGGGCGGAAGACUGAUGGAGCGACGCCGCGUGGGGGAUGACGGCCGUGGGGUUGUAGACUCCUUUCGGCCGCGAGGAAGCCACCUGGUUGGAAGGGUGGUGACGGUAGUGGUAGAAGAAGCACCGGCUAACUACGUG
rnacentral:rRNA from 1 species